GCACCUACACGUGGGCCACGGGCUCCCCCGGUAGGCAGGGCUCCUCACCUGCCCCGUUUCCAGACCUUGAGCCUGGGGAGCCGGUGUGGCCGGGGUCACGGGUCACGGAGCUUCAAGGCGGGGGCGGGGCAGGGCCCAGCCUGACCCCGGUGUCUGGGCGGCAGCGUGCAGCCCGCCAGGGACGUUCAGAAUUCCCGAAGUGAGCGUUGGAGCUGGGGACAGUGACAUCCACCUGUUACAGAGCUGCUGACCAGACAGUGACCACUGGCCUCCAGGGAGCCCAGUCCAGCACCCUGACCUCCCCUCCCAGCGGGACUCCCGUGAUCGCGGCCACUGGGACCUUCAGCGCCUCUUUCUGUUGUGCGUACUCAUGGCCUGGAAUCAAUGAACUUCGUGUCUGGUCCUUGGAGAAGGCCUCCUGUUUGGCUGACCAGCCCGUGUCCUCCAUUGCUUGGGGGGGUUUCGAACCUGCUCCCGUCCCCGUCCGUGGUGCCCGACCUCUGCUGCAGCAUCCCGAUUGCAGCACCCAGACAUCGACCCAGAACAUCGUUAAGGCCUUCCCUCCAAUGACCCAAAAUAAAA